AUUGACUUCAUCUCUUUUAUUAUUAUUAUUAUUAUAAAUUUUAUAAAAAUUUCGGCUGCAUUUCUGCUUAUUUUUACAUAGAACCCCCUGCAAUUAAAACCAUAUCUUUUCCAAAAUAUAACCAAAUCAACCAAUUCAUUCCACAUUCACAUUUUCUAUUCUAAUUACUUCUAAUCAAACUCAAUCAACAUAAUAUCAAUUUAAAAUUUAACAAGGUAAUAAAUAAAUCAAAAUAGAUAAACUUCUUUCAUAAUAAUUC
rnacentral:lncRNA from 1 species